rnacentral:tRNA from 2 species
GGCUGAGUAGCCAAGUGGUUGAAGGCAUUGGUCUGCAAAACCGACAUCGUGAGUACCCUUCGGGAAGCCGCUUAGCGUCUACAAAUCUCACCUCAGCCU